CCUACUGGUGGCAGCAGUAGGGACUUUUGCUCAAUGGGCGAAAGCCUGACGCAGCAACGCCGCGUGAUCGAGACGCCCUUCGGGGUGUAAAGAUCUGUCAUUGGGGGCGAAACUUGCCGGUACCCACAGAGGAAUCACCAGCUAACUCCGGGCCAGCAUCCGCGGUAAUACGGAGGGUGCACGCGUUGUCCGGAAUCAUUGUGCGUAAGGAGUUCUUAGGUGGCAAGUAAGGUCUGGUGUUAAAGGCAGAGGCUCAACUUCUAUACGGCACUGGAUACUUGCGAGCUAGAAUGCGGUAGAGGUAAAGGGAAUUACGGGUGUAGCGGUGAAAUGCUUAGAUAUCAGGAGGAACAUCGGUGGCGUAAGCGCUUUACUGG
rnacentral:rRNA from 1 species